GGAUUGUGGCUCAGCGGUAGGGCAUUCAUCUAGCACAUGCGAGGCCCUGGGUUCGAUCCUCAGCACCA
rnacentral:tRNA from 1 species